UACAGAGGGGGCAAGCGUUGUUCGGAAUUACUGGGCGUAAAGGGCGCGUAGGCGGCCUGCUAAGUCGAACGUGAAAUCCCCGGGCUCAACCCGGGAACUGCGUCCGAUACUGGCAGGCUUGAAUCCGGGAGAGGGAUGCGGAAUUCCAGGUGUAGCGGUGAAAUGCGUAGAUAUCUGGAGGAACACCGGUGGCGAAGGCGGCAUCCUGGACCGACACUGACACUGAGGCGCGAAAGCCAGGGGAGCGAACGGG
rnacentral:rRNA from 1 species